GAAUUCAAGAGGCAUGAGCAAGAGGGGUUUGAAAGUUAGUGAAGCGUAGAGUUUGAACGGAGAAGAGAUGGGUAUUUAUAGGGGUUUUGGGCUGAAAACCCAAUGAUUUAAAGUUUCAAAUAAAGGAUAAGACUAGUUGGACAGUUUAAAAAUCAUUAUGGAGAUUCAGGAAAUCCAAAUGAAGAGGCUAAGAAAUUCGCAGAUCGAGGCUACAUGAUGACAUGUAAGGGCGGAUUCAAUGAUGAAGAGACGUUUGUGUAGACAUCGAAAUUUCGAUAAAUAAAUGUUGACCGAUAAAUCAAAGUGUCAACGCUCAUGUAUUACAUAAAUUUUACACGUAGCGUGUGA
rnacentral:lncRNA from 1 species